UAUGUAUAAACUUCUUCUUUGUUGGUUGAAAAUUCAAGCAAAAUUAUGCUAGCUUUAUAUAUAUAUAUAUAUAGUAGUUAUCAAAUGUUUAAGAGGAAUCAUGCUAUAAGCAUACAAGUAACCAUGUUAUUAGUUACUAUAAGAAUAUCAUGUUAACACUGGGCAACUUAAAGUUAUGGGCAGAGUAAAAAUUGCAUAUACCGAAAACAUGGAAGCUUAGUAACAUCUAACUAAUGAUUUUGGUCCACUAGAUUUGUGUGUUUGAUUCAAAGGUUAGCAUCGAAAAGAUUGACUACAAACUUUUGGAAAAGCAUACCAGGAUCAUUUUGCCCAUUACUAUUGCCCGAUUCCUGCAGUCAGAGGGAGAUUAUAUGAGUGGAGCAAUCUUAUCUAGCUGCAUAUAUGUGAAUUUGAACACACAUCUAACAGAUUUGCACAUCCAAAAUAAUAAUCUCUGUACUUUUUGGCACUAAAGUGACAAAAGUGAACAAGAAAACAAUUAGAACAACUAAUACUAAUCGAACUAGGGAAAACCUACAUUGCCCAUGUUAUAUCACCAAGAAGUUGAAAGCCAGGCGGUGCUGAUCAAAAUGAAGCCCCUGCAUCCACCAAAAGUAAUACAGUCAGUACAAGUAUCAGAAGAAUAAUAAAUCAAGAGUAUGACAAUGAUUGAGUCAUAAGCACGGAAUUUGAUUAAGAAAACAUCUCCUGGAAAUGGGAUGGUUAUCCUGGGAUUUUAAAGCUGAGAAAUGAACUCAUCAGAAGCUGGAUUUGGGGCGAAUCAGUCAAAUAUAAUUAUCGUAUGACUGUGUAUAAACAACACAUCAUCUAUUAAGCAACUGUAUAACUAAUUGCCGAUAAGUUUUAAAAGUUUCAUAAGGUAUGAGGCAGAUUAUGAGUUGUUCAUCGUACCAAAGCAGUUUGCCUAAAACCAAAAGUGGAAAACUCAAAACAAUAUGCAUGACAAGGGAGAGCCUAUCAUGCCACUACUCCGCAAUUUGCUGACAUGUAAAUCUAGAAUAGCAUAUAAUGCAGUAAUACAUGGCAAAUUAUAGUGCUGUAAACAGAUUGUGGACAAUCAAAAACCAUAAAUGUGAGAGAACGCACGGCGAAUCUGCAGCCUCUUGAACAAACCGAUGAAAGGAGUUGAUCUUCACCGCCUAUAUAUAGAUGGAGAAAAGAUAAAAGUAGAGGAAUUGGAAUCCUGGAACAAUUUCCAGCCAUGAAUGAAUAAAAAAAGGAAUCGCAAGAGUGGGAAUUCGGGGUGAAUAUGAGAAGGAACAAACUUGAUCAACUCAGAAUUGAACGUCUCCGAGCAAAGUGGAGCAGAGAAUCGGAGCUUUCAAAAAGGGGUUGGGCUUUUUUGAGAUUCGAUUCGACGUUGAUUUUCGGUAAAGAUGUUCAGAUUCGUGUGUUUUCAACGGUAAAUGGAAUGCGCGGGUGCACCGAGUGGUAUAGUCCGGCACGCACACGAUAUUCUCGAUCGUGUCAAGGGGAAUUGAAUGCCGUGAGCGGAACUAGCUGGCAGCCUAACUGCUUUCAAGUUUCAACCACCUUAAAUUCUGUGUGUACUUACAUUUGGCCUUUACUUACUAUCUCAGCUUAUUCUGCUUCUUUAUUUGCAUACCAACUAUUGCAUU
rnacentral:lncRNA from 1 species